rnacentral:rRNA from 1 species
UACCAGCACCCCGAGUGGUCGGGACGAUUAUUGGGCCUAAAGCAUCCGUAGCCGGUUUUACAAGUCCUCCGUUAAAUCCAGCUGCUUAACAGAUGGGCUGCGGAGGAUACUAUAAGACUAGGAGGCAGGAGAGGCAAGCGGUACUCAGUGGGUAGGGGUAAAAUCCGUUGAUCCAUUGAAGACCACCAGUGGCGAAGGCGGCUUGCCAGAAUGCGCUCGACGGUGAGGGAUGAAAGCUGGGGGGAGCAAACCGG